UUAUCACUUACUCCCUAAGUACCU
rnacentral:siRNA from 1 species